rnacentral:rRNA from 1 species
CUGGGAUAAGCGCUGGAAACGGCGUCUAAUACUGGAUAUGAGAUGCGAUCGCAUGGUCGUGUUUGGAAAGAUUUUUCGGUCUGGGAUGGGCUCGCGGCCUAUCAGCUUGUUGGUGAGGUAAUGGCUCACCAAGGCGUCGACGGGUAGCCGGCCUGAGAGGGUGACCGGCCACACUGGGACUGAGACACGGCCCAGACUCCUACGGGAGGCAGCAGUGGGGAAUAUUGCACAAUGGGCGAAAGCCUGAUGCAGCAACGCCGCGUGAGGGAUGACGGCCUUCGGGUUGUAAACCUCUUUUGGUAGGGAAGAAGCCUUCGGGUGACGGUACCUGCAGAAAAAGCGCCGGCUAACUACGUGCCAGCAGCCGCGGUAAUACGUAGGGCGCAAGCGUUAUCCGGAAUUAUUGGGCGUAAAGAGCUCGUAGGCGGUCUGUCGCGUCUGCUGUGAAAUCCCGAGGCUCAACCUCGGGCUUGCAGUGGGUACGGGCAGACUAGAGUGCGGUAGGGGAGAUUGGAAUUCCUGGUGUAGCGGUGGAAUGCGCAGAUAUCAGGAGGAACACCGAUGGCGAAGGCAGAUCUCUGGGCCGUUACUGACGCUGAGGAGCGAAAGGGUGGGGAGCAAACAGGCUUAGAUACCCUGGUAGUCCACCCCGUAAACGUUGGGAACUAGUUGUGGGGUCCUUUCCACGGAUUCCGUGACGUAGCUAACGCAUUAAGUUCCCCGCCUGGGGAGUACGGCCGCAAGGCUAAAACUCAAAGGAAUUGACGGGGACCCGCACAAGCGGCGGAGCAUGCGGAUUAAUUCGAUGCAACGCGAAGAACCUUACCAAGGCUUGACAUACACCAGAACGGGCCAGAAAUGGUCAACUCUUUGGACACUGGUGAACAGGUGGUGCAUGGUGUCGUCAGCUCGUGUCGUGAGAUGUUGGGUUAAGUCCCGCAACGAGCGCAACCUCGUUCUAUGUUGCCAGCACGUAAUGGUGGGAACUCAUGGGAUACUGCCGGGGUCAACUCG